CUGCACUCAAAGUGUAUGGAAGUUCCCAGCCCAGGGAUCAAAUCCACAGCUGUGGCAAGGCCAGAUUCUUAACCCACUGCGCUAGGCUGGGGAUUGAACCUGGGCUUCAGCAGCCACAUGAGCUUCUGCAGAGACCACACCAGAUCCCUGACGCACUGAGCCACAGUGGGAACUCCUCAAUAUUGUGAUUUAUUAUAAUUGUUGAAGCAUUAAUUCUCCCACCAUACAAAUAGCUGAUAUUUAGGAACACUUAAUUGUGGGUCAAGUGCUACAUUAUUUCAUUUAGUCUUCAUGUGUUACAGAUGAGGAAACUGAACACAUGCAACAAAGCCAGGGGGAAGCCAAGAUACGAAUCUACACAUUCCACUCUUUAGCCCUAGAUCUUAACUCUAUACCAGUGGUUUUCAGUGGGGGUGAUUUUGCCUCCUGUGAGACAUUCAGCAGUAUCUGGAGACAUUUUUGAUGGCUGCAACUGGAAUGUGGGAGGAAGCUACUGGUAUCUAGUGGGCAGAGGCCAGUGACGUUGCUAGGCACCCUGCAAGACACAGGGCAGCUCCUCACAGCAAAGAAUUAUUCAGUUCCAAAUGUUAAUAGUUCAGAGGCUGAGAAACACUGCUCUACCCUAAAUUAACUCCUGUGGAUUGACCCAAGAGACUCUGAGCAUCUCCACAGCAAGGAUUUUUAAAUGUUCACCAUGGUGUCUUGGCACCUACCAUAGAGCCUGGUACUCAGUAGAUGCUCAAUGCGUAUGUGAUGGAUGGGACAGAUGGGUGGAAGGAUGGGUGCUGGGAUGGAUGGAUGGGUGGAGGGAUGAGGGGAUGGAUGCAGAAAUGGAAGGAUGGAUCAAUUCCAGGAGCAAAGAAACAAGUUUACCUAUUUUAAGGCUUGUUUUUUGUGGCAACUUUGAUAAAGAUAAAUCUGCACGCACACACACACACACACACACACACACACACACACACACUGGGGAUGCCCUCACCUUAGCAACAACUUACAUUUAUGAUUCUAGAGUGUGAGAUCAAAUUAAUUCACCAAAUGGCUAGAAUUAGUUUUUCUAAAGAGUCCCCUUCAAGCACUACACUAGAGGAUAAACUGGUAUGUUCCUCAUCCACACAGGCCACAGCUCAAAUUGUUUUUUAAAAAGACUUUCUGAAUAAGGCUCCCCUGGUUUCUUUUCUUUUAAAUAAAAGCCAAAUAACAAGAGAAUAUACAAUCUCAUGCUUUCCCCUGUUGUAACUACAAUUCAGACAUAAAUUCAUUAUUCUAGAUUUCCAGAUGCUGAAGGUAGAGUAGAAAUUACAAUGAAUCUUAGGUGAAGUUUUUAAGGGUAAACAAAAACAUACAUACCGGAAAGAAACCACUCUCUGGCUUCUGUAACUAAUAUAUCUAAAUACCAGAAAUGAAGCCAAGAAAAGAUAUAUUUCAUGAUUAUAAGAUUUUUAAAAUACCAGCAAUUUAGCCUGAUUUUUACAGCAGCACAAACCCUUCAACAAUGGCAGCGUUAAUAAGUGCUGAACAUGAACUGAUAGAUUUUCUACAGAAAAGCAAAAAGGUUCAGCUGUAGGGCUGGCUCCUUUGAGUUACUACUUAUUAUAAAAUGUAGUCAGAAGUUAAAACAAAUGAGACUAAUUUUUAAGUGUAAUACUCUCAACUAUGCCUCACAACUUUGCAUUGAACUCUGCAGUUUUAUACAAGCACACACACACACAACCAAAGAAUACAAUAACCAAAUAAGUUUUGGUACCUGUCCUCACUCUUGGAGAUUCAUAGUGCAACAUAAGCAUAAAAGCAGGCUCUGAACACACUUGCGUUAGGUUGUUAAACUCAGGAUUUCCCAUAGAGCGGCAUCAAUAAAAAGUAAAAUCAGAUGAGGAUCUGCCAAAACAUUCGGAAGUAUGGAAAAAGGCUAAAAGUGGUGACAGGAUUUGUAGCUGGGGACACCAGUGUGACUGGGGCAUUUCUCACCAUGGGAACCAUGACUGAAGCCAGAGACAAGCUGUGCCUUUGUCACCGUAGGUGAGAACAUGACACACACUUGUCACAGAGGCAGAUUGUUCUUGUACAGACACGCAAGUCAGUGAGACGUUUAUGCAUAGGAGAGAGGAAAAGAAAAGGUUAACCCAAACUCAGGAAUGUCACAAUCACUGACAUCAAUCAUGAUUUUUGGAGCACCUAUUCUGUGGAACCAUUGUGGAAAAUCUGGGAAAAUAGUCUUAAAGGAAACAAAAGAGGGGCAAGUAUAGCUGAACCACCUUGAGAUCCACUAAACAACAUGUCACAAGAGCCAGACCAUUUAAUGGGCUGCUGAAUGUCAUGAUCAUACAUUUUGCCACUAAAACCAUGACAAUCUCCUCCAGUCUCCUCAUCGUAGACACUCCUAGGCUAGGCCUUCACUAGAGUGGCACAAGUGUAUUUCCCAAAUUAAGAAGACAUCUCUGCUUUCAAUUAGCAUUCCUUAGUCCAAGCUUUUGCUUUCAUCAGCUUAUCACUCAUGAUGUUCUGAAUGAACCCCUAAAUUCUUGAUCACAGAAGAGAAGCCAUGAUCCUUGAAAGAUCUUUUUUUUUUAGAACUAGGAAUUUGAAUAAGAAACUUAGUUCUGAUCAAUCCCUUCCUCAUUGUUAUAUGUGCCCUAACUAUAGUUCACUAUCAAAAACAUGCAUACACAUACACAUUAUUAUACAUAUUAUACUGCUCUAGACAUAUUAGUUCUAUAUCAUAAUAUACAUAUUAUUGUGUGUUGUAUGCAUACAUACAUACAUAGAUAUGUUUAUUUAUUUAUGUUAGAGUAUGUGAUUGACAAGAUGGAAAGUCUCCAACAUGCUUCCUGGGACAGAGUCAAGGUUCCUGGGUCCUAAUUCCUGGCUCUCUGGACUUGCCACUUGGAAAAGAUACUUGAGUUCACGGCAGAGCUCAGUUUCUCACUCAAUAAAAAUAGUACUGCACAAGAAGAGCUGCCAGUACAUAAAGUCUCCAAAGUUCCUUGAAAUUAGGACAGUAUGGACCAAACAACAUUACCAUUAAACGUAGAUCAUGAUUCUAGCUGUCAGUUAACCAGAUUCCUGAGAGGAGGAUAUGGAAAUAUACAUAUAUAUUGAUCUUUUGUCCUUUGUCCUUUUAGGGCCAAACCUGCGGCAUAUAGAGGUUCCCAGGCUAGGGGUCUAAUCGGAGCUGUUGCUGCCGUCCUACGCCAGAGCCACAGCAAUGCCAGGUCUGAGCCGCAUCUGCGACCUACACCACAGCUCACGGCAAUGCCGAAUCCUUAACUAACCCACUGAGCACAGCCAGGGAUCGAAUCUGCAACCUCAUGGUUCCUAGUGGGAUUCGUUUCUACUGCGCCACAAUGGGAACUCUGGAAAUAUAUUCUUUGUGAUUCAGUGAUUUGUAUACGCCCCCUAAGCCCACUUGCUUAAAGUCCAUAAUUGACUAAGGAGUUGAGUUGGGAGCUUAAGGCAGAGAGUGAACAUCCUUAAUCGGAGACUCACUGGCCUAAACGUAUUCAUUCAACCCCACACCACGUGGAUUCCAGGAGAAAACUGGUUGACUUGCAUUGCAAUUUUCAUGAAUAUAUCUGGGUGACAAAAUCCACAAAACAAUCACCUCUCAGAUUAAAAGCAUUUUAUUUCAUCUAGGGGGCUAUCUGAGAGACCCCAAUAUGCAUAUCCAUUCCAUCAAGGUGGAGACUACUUCAGAAUCUCUUUGUAUGAAUAUAUGCUUAUUGUCUCAUAGGUCACUAGGCUACACGCUGAGCUGCUAAAUGGCUAGCUAGUACACAGAAGAUACAUAAAUUUUUGUAGGCUGAAUGAGGAAUCAAAUCAACUACGCAAAAUGACUUUAAAUAAAGCAAGGAGUUAACCUGCUAUCUAUUACUUAACCAGCUCAGACACUAAAACAAAUCCUUCUAGCAAAACACUCAGCUGUGACAUGGACAUAUGAUAUAACCCAGGCAGCAAACAUUCAUUUUGGACAAAACUAAGCCAGAAGGUGACACUUAAUACAAUGUCAGAAAAGAAAGAGAAGCAUCUCCCCUUCUCCCCCUGCCAUUCAUACUUUCAACAAGAAUCUCUCUGGGCCCAUGUGUCAAAGUCUUCACUAGGUGCUAGGAGUCAAGGAUGAGUAAACCCACAGUUCAGAGGGGAAGACAGGAAGGAAAAAAACACGAACACACACACUGCUCUGCAGGGUGAUAACUACAUAGAUGAAAGCACAAAGCAUUGAGGCCACCUGUUCAGAGAGGUUUAUGGCCAUUGGGUCCUUUUCAAGUACCUGGCUGUCCUGUCCUCUCAGACUGCUCCAGUUAAAAGCUUGGCCGAGACACUGGAUAUUUGAGAAAGUCAGCCUAAAGAACAUGUUAACCCUUCAUUCCUCUAAGUUUUCUGAGCUCUAUUUCUGCACUGGGGACAGUGUUUAGAAUCUCCACCAUGAUGAGGCCAUGGUAGCUCAGGCUCCCAAAGAUAAACUCCCACUGGGUGACUUUUCUUAUUACACCUUCUGCACUUUUUUCCCUUGGAGGGUUGGUAAAAGAUGACCAUAUUAAGAAUGUUACUUCAUUUCCUGUAGAAAUGAAGUUCAAGUGUUGGCUAUUACAUGGUCCAGUAUGCAAACUGCCAUCUACCAUAAUAAGCAUUCUACAAAUGUUACCUGAUUUAUUCUUAUAUCUUCAGCACAUACCUGCCACCUCCAAUCUCCCCCCGCCCUUUUUUUUGUUAAUUUGGCUAUUGAGAAGCUCAGAGCUUAAUUAAACACUGAAAAGCAAUAAGCAUUUAUGAUUUCAGUUUAAUUAUCUUUACUCCUCUAUAAGAUCUGGAACUUUCUUCCUUCACUAUUUUUUACCAGUCUCAUCAUUUUGUGGGACUCUUAUUAUGCAUUUACUGGGACACAUUUCUGGAAGUCGAUAUAGACAAAAACAAAUUACCGUAACCAUCAAUUGUAAUUUACUUUUAGACUCACCAGUCAAGAGUUCCCGUGAUUAUGUAUUUACUGCCAUUUUAAACCUUGUUUUCUAGUUGAUUCUGUUUCUCCUUUGUUCCUUUCUUUUUUUGGUCUCAUAUACAGCACAAAUAAAACUUUCCACAGAAAAGAAACUCAUGGACUUGGCAAACAGACUUGUGGUUGCCCUGGGGGAGGAGGAGGGGGAGGGAGUGGGAUGGACUAGGAAUCUGGGGUUAAUAGAUACAAACUGUUGCCUUUGGAAUGGAUAAGCAAUGAGAAGCUGCUGUAUAGCAGUAGGAACUAUAUCUAGUCACUUAUGAUGGAGCAUGAUGGAGGCUAAUGUGAGAAAAAGAAUGUGUGCAUGUAUGUGCGAUGGGGGCACUUUGCUGUAUAGCAGAAAAUUGACAGAACACGAUAAACAAACUAUAAUGGGAAAAAUAAAAAUCAAUAAAAGAAAAAAAAAGAGUUUCUAAUUAUCAGAAGAGGUAAUUAGAAGAUGACCCCUUAGGUAUCACACCCUGAUGGCUUGGAAACUCAGAGAGUACAAUAUUUCCCCACAAUCCCUGGUUCAGAACAUGUAUGGGAAGUGCAAAAAGGGGAAAGGGGAGAUUGCCUUAAUUCACACUUAGGCUAAGCACCAGGUUUCCUAAUCUACUACCAAGGGACAUUUUUAACUUGUGUUGGAUCCUUACAAUCCCAUCUCACCCCUUCCCCAAGGGCCACUUUUGUAGACUAGCUAUACACCACAUGUCCUUGGUCCCCUUAGGGCUGCCAGGGCCAAGGCACUGCCAGAACCUGCUGAGUGAGAAGGCAUUGCUAUCAUCCAGUGAUGUCUGUUCCCUGGAAUUUCACUCUCAGCACUGACAAUGCCUCUGGAACUCAUAAAGAUUCUACAGAAACUCAGGAGUUGAAGGUCAGUAUCUUCAGGGAAUCAAGAUAACAGGUAGGACAAACUGCAGCUGAGGAUUUCCAUGUCCUCAAGGCAAAUGCCCCCAGGAAGAACUCACAGAAAUAACUCUCUGCGUUGUCACUACAUAGAACAGGAUUAGCUUUCAAAUCAACAUGAGAGAUAAAAAUUGAAUGAUAUAUUCAUGGCACACACAGGCACAGAUCUUGGCAUAACGCAACUGACACCCACUUAGAUGCUUAGUCAGGUAUUCUGGGGAAUACAGUGUUUGGGCACAAGCAUUCAUUUAUUCAACAAAGAUUUAUUCAGCGCCUACUGUUUACCAUGCACUGUUCAAGAUCCUGGAAAAUCAUGAGUGAAGGACAGGUACUCAAUAAGUAUCAACUGAAAUGAAUUCAGAUUGCAAAUAAGACCAAAGAAGGGGGAGGGAGAAAGGAAGUAGAAACAAUAUGAUGAUUCUGAGAAAGGAUGGGAGACUGCUUUUGCUCAAAUGGUCAGAAAAGUUUUUUUUUUUAAAGAUAACAAUAAUCUUACAAUAAAACGACAAAAAGGAGAGGAAGAAACCAAUCACCUUAACUCUGAGUUCCAUCAAAAAGAAGAGUUUACUAAAAAAAGAAACGUGCAGUUCCGUUUGUGGCCCCACAUACCCCAUGCCUCAAACAACUGCAAAAACCCCAGGAAAGAAAAGGUAUCCACAACUUUCUCUGUUCUUAGGGAAACUUUAAGAAACCAUGCUUCCCCAAAGAUGCUCAAUUAAAAGAAAGUUGUCUUACCUCAUCCCUACAGAAGAAUUUAUUACAAAGAAUCCAGAAAGGGGGGGCUAAUGAAAGGUUUAUUCCUCUUUUAAAGUCAGUUACUUUAUAAAAUAAUAUCCCAAUGUCAAUAAAACUAUGUCUUUGCACUGUAAUCCCAAGAGGAAUUGCUUCAUCAAAAAAAGUCUACCGCUAAAUUCAGUAUCAUUUACUUUCACUUGCUAAAAAUGAGAAGCAAAUCAUACUUAUUAGUAGAUGAUAUAUUACUUCCAAUAUAUAAUAAAACUUUGAAAUUCAUCAAAAACAAGAUUCUGAAAGAAUCUGUUUAAUGAACACAAAUGACAAAUGGUCAUUCACCAAUGCCUUCCCAUAUUAUACCACAAACAAAUCACUUAGUAUUGAAUUUCUGUUAGAGUCAAUUACAAUAGCCAAAUGGCAUAAAAACUCUUGAAAAUAUCCAUUGCUCAAAAGAAAUUUCAUCAAAACACCGUCUUCUUUAACAUUUCCUAGUCCCUGACUUGUUUCAGAAGAGAGGUAAGCAGAAGUAAAUUAGGGAACAGAUCGGUCA
ensembl:lncRNA